UGGGGAAUAUUGGACAAUGGGCGAAAGCCUGAUCCAGCCAUGCCGCGUGUGUGAAGAAGGUCUUCGGAUUGUAAAGCACUUUAAGUUGGGAGGAAGGGCAGUAAGCGAAUACCUUGCUGUUUUGACGUUACCGACAGAAUAAGCACCGGCUAACUCUGUGCCAGCAGCCGCGGUAAUACAGAGGGUGCAAGCGUUAAUCGGAAUUACUGGGCGUAAAGCGCGCGUAGGUGGUUCGUUAAGUUGAAUGUGAAAGCCCCGGGCUCAACCUGGGAACUGCAACCAAAACUGGCGAGCUAGAGUAGGGGAGAGGGUGGUGGAAUUUCCUGUGUAGCGGUGAAAUGCGUAGAUAUAGGAAGGAACACCAGUGGCGAAGGCGACCACCUGGGCUCAUACUGACACUGAGGUGCGAAAGCGUGGGGAGCAAACAGG
rnacentral:rRNA from 1 species